rnacentral:rRNA from 1 species
GACAGAGGGUGCAAACGUUGUUCGGAAUUACUGGGCGUAAAGCGCGUGUAGGCGGCUUGGCAAGUCGGGUGUGAAAGCCCUGGGCUCAACCUGGGAAUGGCAUUUGGGACUGCAAGGCUUGAGUUUGGCAGAGGAGACUGGAAUUCCUGGUGUAGCAGCGAAAUGCGUAGAUAUCAGGAGGAAUACCGAUGGCGAAGGCAGGUCUCUGGGCUAUAACUGACGCUCAUGCACGAAAGCGUGGGGAGCAAACAGG